rnacentral:rRNA from 1 species
UACGUAGGGUGCAAGCGUUAAUCGGAAUUACUGGGCGUAAAGCGUGCGCAGGCGGUUUCACAAGCUCGAUGUGAAAGCCCCGGGCUUAACCUGGGAAUGGCAUUGAGGACUGUGGAGCUCGAGUGCGGCAGAGGGAGGUGGAAUUCCACGUGUAGCAGUGAAAUGCGUAGAGAUGUGGAGGAACACCGAUGGCGAAGGCAGCCUCCUGGGCCGACACUGACGCUCAUGCACGAAAGCGUGGGGAGCAAACAGG